UACGUAGGUGGCAAGCGUUGUCCGGAUUUACUGUGCGUAAAGGAUGCGUAGGCGGACAUUUAAGUCAGAUGUGAAAUACCCGAGCUUAACUUGGGUGCUGCAUUUGAAACUGGGUGUCUAGAGUGCAGGAGAGGUAAGUGGAAUUCCUAGUGUAGCGGUGAAAUGCGUAGAGAUUAGGAAGAACACCAGUGGCGAAGGCGACUUACUGGACUGUAACUGACGCUGAGGCAUGAAAGCGUGGGGAGCAAACAGG
rnacentral:rRNA from 1 species